GAUGAACGCUGGCGGCGUGCCUAAUACAUGCAAGUCGAGCGAACGGACGAGAAGCUUGCUUCUCUGAUGUUAGCGGCGGACGGGUGAGUAACACGUGGAUAACCUACCUAUAAGACUGGGAUAACUUCGGGAAACCGUAGCUAAUACCGGAUAAUAUUUUGAACCGCAUGGUUCAAAAGUGAAAGACGGUCUUGCUGUCACUUAUAGAUGGACCCGCGCUGCAUUAGCUAGUUGGUAAGGUAACGGCUUACCAAGGCAACGAUGCAUAGCCGACCUGAGAGGGGGAUCGGCCACACUGGAACUGAGACACGGUCCAGACUCCUACGGGAGGCAGCAGUAGGGAAUCUGCCGCAAUGGGCGAAAGCCUGACGGAGCAACGCCGCGUGAGUGAUGAAGGUCUUCGGUUCGUAAAACUCUGUUAUUAGGGAAGAACAUAUGUGUAAGUAACUGUGCACAUCUUGACGGUACCUAAGCAGAAAGCCACGGCUAACUACGU
rnacentral:rRNA from 1 species